AAAAUAAAUAUCUAAAUUUAAGUGUAUCAUUUACAAUGAUAGGAUGUUUUAUAAACUUUAUUUAU
rnacentral:tRNA from 1 species